rnacentral:rRNA from 1 species
AGCGGAGGAAAAGAAACUAACAAGGAUUCCCCUAGUAACGGCGAGUGAAGCGGGAAGAGCUCAAAUUUGUAAUCUGGCGUCUUCGACGUCCGAGUUGUAAUCUCGAGAAGUGUUUUCCGCGCCGGACCGCAUACAAGUCUGUUGGAAUACAGCGUCAUAGUGGUGAGAGCCCCGUAACUGAUGCGGAUGCCCGGUGCUUUGUGAUACACUUUCGAAGAGUCGAGUUGUUUGGGAAUGCAGCUCAAAUUGGGUGGUAAAUUCCAUCUAAAGCUAAAUAUUGGCGAGAGACCGAUAGCGAACAAGUACCGUGAGGGAAAGAUGAAAAGCACUUUGGAAAGAGAGUUAACAGUACGUGAAAUUGUUGGAAGGGAAACGAUUGAGGUCAGACUUGCUAUUCGGAAUUCAGCCGCAAGGUGUACUUUUCGAUUUGCAGGCCAGCAUCAGUUUUCGGGGGCGGAAAAGGGUAAGUUGAAGGUAGCAGUUUCGGCUGUGUUAUAGCUUCUUACUGGAUUCGUCUUUGGGGACUGAGGAACGCAGCACGCUUUUAGCGAGACCUUCGGGUCUUUCGUGCUUAGGAUGCUGGUGGAAUGGCCUUAAACGACCCGUCUU